rnacentral:rRNA from 1 species
AACGAGAUUCCCACUGUCCCUAACUACUAUCUAGCGAAACCACAGCCAAGGGAACGGGCUUGGCAAAAUCAGCGGGGAAAGAAGACCCUGUUGAGCUUGACUCUAGUCUGACUUUGUGAAGAGACAUGAGAGGUGUAGCAUAAGUGGGAGCUUUGGGAUCAAUCUUGACUAGAGUUUCGGCUUUAGUUGAGACCCCUUUGCGCCAAUGAAAUACCACUACUCUCAUCGUUUCUUUACUUACACGGUAAAAAGGAAAUUGUGAUAGUGUCUCUCUCUUCUGGACUUCGGUUCAUGAACGAGGAGGCCACCUAUCACUAAAUUCUAGAGCAAAAUGUGGUUCCAACCAUACAUGCCUUUGACACCUAAGGUAUCUCUUGUUCUUUCGGGGACUUGAGAUCUUUAAAGACAAAGGUUUGGUUGGUAACCAGUGUAACUUGUACUCACGUACAAGACCUACACAACCGCAUAAUCCCAACCGUGGACAUUGUCAGGUUGGGGGUUUGACUGGGGCGGUACAUCUGUCAAAAGGUAACGCAGGUGUCCUAAGGC